AGAGUUUGAUCCUGGCUCAGGAUGAACGCCGGCGGUGUGCCUAAUACAUGCAAGUCGAACGCGUUGGCCCAACUGAUUGGACGUGCUUGCACGGACUUGACGUUGGUUUACCAGCGAGUGGCGGACGGGUGAGUAACACGUAGGUAACCUGCCCCAAAGCGGGGGAUAACAUUUGGAAACAGAUGCUAAUACCGCAUAACAAUUUGAAUCGCAUGAUUCAAAUUUAAAAGAUGGCUUCGGCUAUCACUUUGGGAUGGACCUGCGGCGCAUUAGCUUGUUGGUAGGGUAACGGCCUACCAAGGCUGUGAUGCGUAGCCGAGUUGAGAGACUGAUCGGCCACAAUGGAACUGAGACACGGCCCAUACUCCUACGGGAGGCAGCAGUAGGGAAUCUUCCACAAUGGGCGCAAGCCUGAUGGAGCAACACCGCGUGAGUGAAGAAGGGUUUCGGCUCGUAAAGCUCUGUUGUUAGAGAAGAACGUGCGUGAGAGCAACUGUUCACGCAGUGACGGUAUCUAACCAGAAAGUCACGGCUAACUACGUGCCAGCAGCCGCGGUAAUACGUAGGUGGCAAGCGUUAUCCGGAUUUAUUGGGCGUAAAGCGAGCGCAGGCGGUUUGAUAAGUCUGAUGUGAAAGCCUUUGGCUUAACCAAAGAAGUGCAUCGGAAACUGUCAGACUUGAGUGCAGAAGAGGACAGUGGAACUCCAUGUGUAGCGGUGGAAUGCGUAGAUAUAUGGAAGAACACCAGUGGCGAAGGCGGCUGUCUGGUCUGCAACUGACGCUGAGGCUCGAAAGCAUGGGUAGCGAACAGGAUUAGAUACCCUGGUAGUCCACGCCGUAAACGAUGAGUGCUAGGUGUUGGAUCCUUUCCGGGAUUCAGUGCCGCAGCUAACGCAUUAAGCACUCCGCCUGGGGAGUACGACCGCAAGGUUGAAACUCAAAGGAAUUGACGGGGGCCCG
rnacentral:rRNA from 1 species